UGUCAGCUCCUAACGGAUAGCUAAAUCAAUUCAAAUUAGCUUCUUCUUCUUCUUCUUCAUUCUUUUUCUUGAAGAAUAAGUUUCUUCUUCCUUCUCUUGAAGAACAGAGCGAUGAAUAAUCAGUGGCGAAGAGACGAGCAAUGGCAGCGAAUUCAUCGGAAAAUCGAAUUAUACAACUGUUACUGCUCGAUUUCUCAUUCCUCCGAACUCGAGGAAUCAUAAUCAUCCAGAAAAGAGAGCAUUCAAAGUGAUUCUGGCUUUGCACAAUCUAUGAUGAUAUCUUCCAAGCCUUUGAAGAGAAACAGAUGGAAACAUGAUG